ensembl:lncRNA
CUCUAUGCAGGUACCUGUGGCAUGCAGCACAACCUACCCAUAAUGGAGCACAGUGCUACACGGGGAGGCAGUGACCAGCAGUUGAAACCAUGGACAGAUUAAGGGAGACAGAAGAAGAGGAGAAUGAGUGUGCAGAACUGCAAGAAGAAUCCUUGCCUGAUUCAAAAACAGCUGUGCAAGACUUCAGCAAAGCAGCACUUCAGUUCUGUUGAUUUUAGGGCUGCUACUGAGUGUAUCCUCAACACCUAUGUAUCCCCAAACUGUCAAAGGCAGGAUGACCAAAGCCAUUUGCUGCUC